GGAAGAGCGAUAUCCCCGGUGGGGUGCCUGGUCUUCAAAACCAGUGAGGCGCGCAGUAACGCGCCUGGUAGGUUCGACUCCUGCCUCUUCCGCCA
rnacentral:tRNA from 2 species